UACAGAGGGUGCGAGCGUUGUUCGGAAUUACUGGGCGUAAAGCGCGCGUAGGUGGUGUGUUAAGUCUGCCGGUCAAAUGCCGAGGCUCAACCUCGGGCUUGCAGUGGAUACGGGCAGACUAGAGUGCGGUAGGGGAGACUGGAAUUCCUGGUGUAGCGGUGAAAUGACGGCAGAUAUCGGGAGGAACACCGGUGGCGAAGGGCGGGUCU
rnacentral:rRNA from 1 species